GCUUGUCUCAAAGAUUAAGCCAUGCAUGUCUAAGUAUAAACAACUUUAUACUGUAAAACUGCGAACGGCUCAUUAUAUCAGCAAUAAUUUAUUUGAUGGUUUCUUACCCCAUGGAUAACUGUGGUAAUUCUAGAGCUAAUACAUGCGUAAAGUCCCGACUCUUUCUGGGGAGGGAUGUAUUUAUUAGAUACAAUCAACCCUUCGGGUUUUGAUGAGUCAUAAUAACUGAACUAAGCGCAUGCUUUGGCGGCGCUGUUUCAUUCAAGUUUCUGCCCUAUCAGCUUUCGAUGGUAGGGUAUUGGCCUACCAUGGCGUUCACGGGUAACGGAGAAUUAGGGUUCGAUUCCGGAGAGGGAGCCUGAGAGAUGGCUACCACAUCCAAGGAAGGCAGCAGG
rnacentral:rRNA from 1 species